GAAUCACGCCCUCAACAGACGUGUCCGAUAUCUCCAGAACCAUUUACCCACGUUGAAGCUUGAAUCAUUUGGUUACACUAUAAAUACAUAUGUAACAGCCCCAUUAGAGGGCAUCUCCAUCUCUUUAAGUUAGCAAUUAACACUUGAAAGAAUAUCAUAGCAAAGGCCCGAUAUCAAUAAAGCUUCGUCACUUCUAGUUUAUUUUUUAGUCCAAGCAAGGAGAUAAAUCCUUUUCCUACUCGGAUCUGUCGCUUGCACUCGUUAUAUAGGCUAUCUUCUUUUAAUUUU